rnacentral:rRNA from 1 species
CCUGAUCUGGGGCUAGGGGCUAAAGACCAAUCUAGCUCGGGGAUAGCUAGUUCCUCCCGAAGUAUGUCGUAGCAUAGUCUCUCUUGAGAUCGUUAAAGGGGUAGAGCACCGAUCGAAAAGCGAGGAGUCGCAAGAUUCCACUUUUCUCUCGAACUCCGAAUCCUUUAACAUCAUAGAAGGAGAGAAACGGGUUCCAGAGGGUAAGCCUCUGGACCGAGAGGGGAGCAACCCCGACCAGGGUUAAGGCCCCAAAAUGCCAGCUAAACGUCAAACCAAAUAGCGUUCUUCGCCUAAAACAGCGGGAGGGUAGGCUCAGAAGCAGCCAUCCUUUAAAGAGUGCGUAAUAGCUCACCCGCCGAGGUUAAGAGCCUUGAAAAUGGACGGGGCUAAGCUGGCUGCCGAGACCCUGGAGUGCAACGUAAUGUUGCAAUCUGGUAGGGAGGCGUCCUGACUGGAUAGAAGCUGAGCUGUGAAGUUCAGUGGACCGGUUAGGAGUGCAGAUCCCGGUGGUAGUAACAGCCAAGAGGGGUGAGAAUCCCCUCCACCGCAAGGGCAAGGGUUCCCCGGCAA